UACGUAGGGUGCGAGCGUUGUCCGGAAUUAUUGGGCGUAAAGAGCUCGUAGGCGGCUUGUCGCGUCGGAUGUGAAAGCCCGGGGCUUAACUCCGGGUCUGCAUUCGAUACGGGCAGGCUAGAGUUCGGUAGGGGAGAUCGGAAUUCCUGGUGUAGCGGUGGAAUGCGCAGAUAUCAGGAGGAACACCAAUGGCGAAGGCAGAUCUCUGGGCCGUAACUGACGCUGAGGAGCGAAAGCAUGGGGAGCGAACAGG
rnacentral:rRNA from 1 species